UGCUAGCUAACUAGCUAUUGCCACUAACGUUACUUCCGUCUGUUGUUACUUCCAUCUGUUGUUGCUAACAUACUGUUGUUGCUAACAUGCUGCUAGCUAACUAGCUAUUGCCACUAACGUUACUUCCAUCUGUGGUUGUUGCUAACAUGCUGCUAGCUAACUAGCUAUUGCCACUAACGUUACUUCCAUCUGUGGUUGUUGCUAACAUGCUGCUAGCUAGCUAAGGUAGAUGACUGCACUGAAAUCUUACCAGCUAGCUACCACAAAUGUCCGAGCCAAACCAAAUGAUCUGCCUGGGAUAGGUAUAACACAACCUACAAAAACCUAUACAGUAGCUAGUUAACUAAGCUAACUCAGUUAGCUAACUGUUUGUUGUGUUUAUGUUAGCCAUCAGCGUCAAAACAGUUACUGUAUUAGCUGGCUAAAAGUUACUUACUGAGUCUCAAAAUGUUCAUAGUCUAUCCGCUUAGAAAGAAUCAUCUCCGUGGUCUCCUGCUUUGAGCUUUUGCUAACUACCGUAACUAGAUGUUUGAUAGUAACGGACGGCGAAGGAAAGCGGAUUUCGGUUAGGACCGUGGCAGAUUUCGGUUAGUUUCGAGGCAGAUUUCGGUUAGGACCGUGGCAGAUUUCGGUUAGGACCGUGGCAGAUUUCGGUUAGGAUCGAGGCAGAUUUCAGUUAGGAUCGAGGCAGAUUUCAGUUAGGAUCGAGGCAGAUUUCGGUUAGGACCGAGGCAGAUUUCGGUUAGGAUCGAGGCAGAUUUCGGUUAGCUUCGAGGCAGCAACAACUCACCUCUCGCGCAAAACUCACAUCAAACUUCAGCACAUGCGCACGGGUGACGUGUUGUUCGCCAACGAACAACGCCAAUGAACGGCUCUUUCUGAUGAACUUCGAGAACCGAAUAGCAUUGUGUGAAAGAGCCGUUCAUUCGAAUCCCUGCUCUGCAUUCUACUGCUUUUUGAGCUAAAACAAACAAUGUUUUUCUGCAGAUAAAUUACAACAUAGGUAUCUAAAGUGGGCGAAUCGUCACUGCAGAAACAAUAAAUUGUGUCGAGAGCGUGUCAAUCUGGUCCACUCUGAUUUUUUUUCAAUGCAUAAAAACAGAUGCACAAUCGAGAGCAUCCUGUC
ensembl:lncRNA